rnacentral:rRNA from 1 species
CCUACGGGGUGCACCAGUGGGGAAUAUUGCACAAUGGGCGCAAGCCUGAUGCAGCCAUGCCGCGUGUAUGAAGAAGGCCUUCGGGUUGUAAAGUACUUUCAGCGGGGAGGAAGGUGUUGUGGUUAAUAACCGCAGCAAUUGACGUUACCCGCAGAAGAAGCACCGGCUAACUCCGUGCCAGCAGCCGCGGUAAUACGGGGGGUGCAAGCGUUAAUCGGAAUUACUGGGCGUAAAGCGCACGCAGGCGGUCUGUCAAGUCGGAUGUGAAAUCCCCGGGCUCAACCUGGGAACUGCAUUCGAAACUGGCAGGCUAGAGUCUUGUAGAGGGGGGUGGAAUUCCAGGUGUAGCGGUGAAAUGCGUAGAGACUGGAGGAAUACCGGUGGCGAAGGCGGCCCCCUGGACAAAGACUGGCGCUCAGGUGCGAAAGCGUGGGGAGCAAGCAGGAUUAGAUACCCGGGUAGUC